GUCAUGUUUGGGUAUAAAAGGAGCAUCCCCAAAAUUCUCAGCUGUUCAUAAGCAAAGAUGGGGCGAGGAUCACCACUUUGUGAACAAAUGCAUGAAAAAAUGGUCCAAAAGUUUAAGAACCAUGUUUCUCAAUU